rnacentral:tRNA from 1 species
GCUCUAGUAGCUUAAUUUAAAGCAUUGGUCUUGUAAUCCAAAGAUUGGAGAUUAGAGUUCCCCCUAGCGC